GUCCACUUGUAAAUGCUCGUCUCUGGUUGCUGCAGUGCUUCUGUGUUGUGCAUUUCUUUGCGACGUCUCUCAGCCUUUCCUAUCUCGUUUUAUAUUCCUUAACACUCGAAUCAACAUAAUAUGCGACUCUAUUUGUAGACUCACAUAAGCUUGUUGAUUAAUAAUGUCUAAAUGAUGUGAAUAAAAUUUGUAUUUUUGUGGGUUUUAACUUUAACAAAAGACAUUUACAUUCAUUGAUAGCAUCACUAACAAAACAAAAAGUAUUUGCUUGAUGUGAACCCAAAAGUAAGAAAAAUAAUAGAGCGUAACAAUCUGAUUAUAUUUGGUGCAAGAUUAGAUUAAAGCACAGUUCGAGGAGCUUAGGUCCAUGAGGAAUUAUUUUUGGUUCCAAGAUCUUUUUAGGCAUUUAGAUCUAUAUAUCUGUUGGCAUUUAUGGAUUUACAUAUAUUUUCUACAAGUAAUAUAUGACUAUGGAUUCUUGCACAUCUGAUUGUAUUCUACUAAAGUAUUAUGCAUACUCUAAUUCUAAGUACAGCCUUGCAAUUUUUCUCAAAAUUAUGUUGCAUUUGUGCCAUUUUUACGACCGUAUAAUUUAUUUUAUGCUGUUCAUUUACUUUAAUUCAAAUGGGUUGCCAGUUCGCAGAAUAAUCUUCUAAAAAAUUUAAGUUAAAGGAGCAUUGGUUUUCAAUUUUAUGUUUUCACCAUUUGUCUAAAUUUGGUGUAGUAGGAGUAAUUGAUUAAAAAUUGAUUUUUCUGCAUUGGAAAAGAACGAUUAGAGAUUUUGGACUAGAAUUUAUGUAUAGAUGGAUUAACUCUCUAUUGUACAUUUGUCUAACAACAAUUCUUAGCCAUGUUUGGACAAUAAUUCUUGUAUAAUCUAUAUGUUGUCUCUAUAGUAUAAAUAUUAUGUCAAACAAAACUGAUCUACCACACCGUUUUGUUCAAGCUAUCAAACUUUCGUUGGACCAUAAUGUUCACUUGUUGCUUCCUAGAUCUUUUGUAGAAUGCUCAGGACGUGACCUUGGUGAUACAGUACGUUUAACUGGUUACGAUGGAAUUAUUUGUAACAUACAAUUGGAGAGAGUUGAUGAUAAUAUAUAUAUCUUGGUACGGAUGGCCACAAUUCUUUGAUCACCAUAACUUAGAAGAUGGUUAUGUUCUCGUCUUUGAAUAUAAUGGAAAUUCUACUUUCGAUGUUUCGAUAUUCGAAUGUUCAGGCGUGGAAGUAAUGUAUGAGUCUGAUAUGUUUGACAUAGAGACUUCACGUACUGGUAAUCCUAUCUUCCGAGUAACAUUAAAAGCUAAUUGUGAUGGUCAUCGAAAAAUUGUAUGCUCCUUUGUAACUUAAAUCUUUCCUGAACUACACAAAACAUUUCCAUACUUAUCAUUCUUGC